GACGUAGGGGGCCAGCGUUGUUCGGAAUUACUGGGCGUAAAGCGUAUGCAGGCGGAUCUUUAAGUCAGGGGUGAAAUCCUGAGGCUCAACCUCAGAACUGCCUUUGAUACUGGAGAUCUUGAGUCCGGGAGAGGUUAGUGGAACUGCGAGUGUAGAGGUGAAAUUCGUAGAUAUUCGCAAGAACACCAGUGGCGAAGGCGGCUAACUGGCCCGGUACUGACGCUGAGAUACGAAAGCGUGGGGAGCAAACAGG
rnacentral:rRNA from 1 species